AACCCCGUACAGACACAUAGAGACACAUAAACAGCGCUUCAUAGAAGCUCCACAGUGCCCCACAGAAGCCCUAGAGAGCCCCAUAGAGCCCCACAGUGCCCCACAGUGCCCCAUAGAAGCCCCACAGAGCCCCAUAAAGCCCCACAGUCUCCCGGCACGUCGCGGCCGCCAUUUUCAUACUGAAAAAUAGCGUCACUUCCGGCAAGGUGGAUUGUGGGAUAUAACGCGGCAUAACGCGGCAUCUGGAGGUCGCCAUUUUGAUCAUGCGCAGUAGCGUCGCUUCCGGUAUGGAGCAUUGUGGGAUAUAACGCGGCAUAACGAGGCACCUGGAGGUCGCCAUUUUUGUCAUGCGCAGUAGCGUCGCUUCCGGUAUGGUGCAUUGUGGGAUAUAACGCGGCAUAACGAGGCAUCUGGAGGUCGCCAUUUUGAUCAUGCGCAGUAGCGUCGCUUCCGGUAUGGUGCAUUGUGGGAUAUAACGUGGCAACCGGAAGUCGCCAUUUUGAUCAUGCGCAGUAGCAUAACUUCCGGCAAGGUAAAUUGUGGGAUAUAACGCGGCAUAACGAGGCACCUGGAGGUCGCCAUUUUGAUCAUGCGCAAUAGCGUCGCUUCCGGUAUGGUGUAUUGUGGGAUAUAACGUGGCAAUCGGCGGAGGGGAUUGUGGGAUAUCAGUGAGACCGCGUUCUUAUUUCCGGUUCCGGCUGUGGGGUGUGAAGAUCGAUUUCCGGCUGUCCGUUUCCGGUGUUUCUGUUAUGGGGUUGCGGGGGAUUCGGGGGUCCCGGUUGGAACCGGAACCGGCCGCUUAUUUACAACGGGAGUCACGAGGAGAUGGGGGAGGAGCCAGAGGGAACGCGGCGCCCCAUAGAGACCCACUGAGCCCCAUAGAGCCCCACAGUGAGGCUAUAAGGGUACGCAGCGCCAUUUAGGGGUCAAAUGCGGUUUUUUUUGGGGGGGUGACAAUAGGGUGCUGUUGGGGUGAUGAUAAAUAUGCGCCAGUUUUAGGACGGCAGUACGCAUGCGCCAGCUUUAGGACGCUAGUGCGCACGCGCCAUUUUUUUGGUGGUUUUUUUUUUUUAAGGAUGACAGUGCGCAUGCGCCAGUUUUAGGUCUCCAGUGCGCAUGCGCUAGUGGUUUUUUUUUUUUUUUUUUUUUUUUUUUUUUUUUUUUUGACGCCAGUGCGCAUGCGUCAGUUUUAGGUCGCCAGUACGCAUGCGUUAGUGCGGCACAGCAGUGAAUGCUACUUAUAGGCCGUGUAGUUCCGGACUAUUGUACCGAGGAUUAAGCAGAGCAAACCUGGGCGGAUUUGCCGUGCACAGCGACCACAACGUCCUUCUUGCCGUGCAUCCCUAACACACACACACACACACACACACACACACACACACGCCGUGCAUCCCGCUGCCUGCACUAACACACAAAUACACCACCGCAAUUCCCCCCAUUGGCCGCGCGGGGGCACAAGAGACCGCGGAAACGGCAACUCCGAGUGGAUUGACGCGCAGCCGCUGCCCAUUCCGUGCCCAUUCCGUGCUCAGUCCCUGCAGCCCCGCCCUCGGCGCAGAAAAAAAGCGAAGUGAGGAAAAGGAAAAACUUGAAAAAGAAAAAAAAAAAAAAAAAAAAAAGGAAAACUUCCCCCACCCCGCACUUGUGUGCUCAGUGCUUGGGAAUGGAAUGGCUGUCACUAAAUACAUUCGCAGCACAUUGACGGGCCUAUGCUUUUUUGUGUUUUUCUUUCAUGUCUGAGGUGUUGCAAAAGCUGGUACCAAUUGCACAGAUACAGAGAGAUGCAGUGACGCCAAGGAUGGCUUGGAAUCAUUAACACACUGCAGCCAGGAACCCUUUAGGAAUAAAAAAUAACACAGUAGUAACAGCUUCUGUACCUGCCCUCACCACUCUGAGAUUCCAUCCGGGUCACCCCAGGCUUGGAAAUCUCCACUGGAUCCAUUUGGAUAUUGAGCAAUUUGUCAUCAGUUCUUUUACUCACAACCGAUGCCAGGAUCAGCCUCAGCACCUUCCACUGCCCCCAGCACCACGACUCCGCUGUUCCAGUAUCAGUGCAAUUCCCAGGCACGGUUUCGAGGACCUGGUCUGCUUCUGAGCCAAAGGUAGAAUUAAUACAAAACAUAAGGUAUGCGUAAGUCAUCAUUAAGCAACUGCUCAGCAGCACCUUUGGGAAACUGAUAAUGGACUUGUAAUAACAGUCUGGCCACAGCAGCAUCAUACAAUGCAAUAUAAGAAUAAUACAAGAACACUUUAUGAGGAGGCAAGGAACUUUCUGACUUCUGUCUGGGACAUCCAGCACCAUCUGCCUGCAGACAUCUCCUUGGCAGCUGUUCUAAAUCCAGCUGUACAUUCUGCUCCAGAGCACAACUCAAAACUACAAAGGAAACAAAGGGAGUUCUACAGAGGCAGAAGAAGAAUGGUACGUCUCUUUCAGUAUUUAAAAUAAGCAAGUAAGAAAUCAACCACAGAAGCUAUUCCUAAAAUCCCCCUAUGGGGAACAGAGAGGCAGAGAAGAACUUAUCUGUGUUUACCUGAACUGCUGCUCCAUGGAAAAAAAACGAAAAGAAAAAUCAAUGUCUUUCAGCCUUUCCCUGUUUGAAAGAAUGUACCAUAUUCACGCCUUAAAAGCAUAAAAAAUAAUAAUACAAUGCAAUGAGAUCUGCACCACACACAAUCUCUUACUGGAGCUGUCACCACUUCCUCCCAACUCAGGCUUUCCAGCAUCUGAAGAACACAGAAUAAUUUACACCAUUCUCUUGUUUUCCUCCUGGAGUUCAUUUCAAUAAAUAGAAUCUUCGUCCAUAUUUGGUGCAGCCCGAGUGUCUUUCUCAAUGAGCUCACAACAAGCAUUAGCCCUGCUGCAGUACGGUUACGAACCCUGACAGGUGCUCAAAGCCACAGACCCCAUGAACAGCAAUCAGGACAGUCCCUGGGAACAAUGGGUGCGGCCCUACAGACACCCAUGGAUACACUCUCAAACAUCCAGAGAGCCAGGAGUAUCCAUUUCCUAUAGCAGAUGACAGGAGGGACACUGAUGAAAUUCUUUGGGUUCAUCCUAAAUAAGAUACAGCACAACAUUCUUCCAUUAGUCCUAAUGGGAUACCCGUACUGUCCACUCUCAAAUGUAAUACAUUAAGAAAGGCACCUUAUGUUUCUCAGUGACCUUCAAUAACAAAACCUGUUGAAGAAAGGGGAUAAUUAUAUGCAAAUUGCACUGAAGUAAUCAAGUGUGUGCCUACUGUGUUGCACUAUUAAAACACAUCUGGAAAAGCAUUAAGAUGCUGUUUCAACAGCAACUCCAACAAAGCUUUUUCACACCUUGUUUUUUGCACUCUAUGCCAACAUCCCCAUUCAAGCAUUUGACUGCAAAAUCUACCACUGCAAAGCUCUAAGAAACCUAUAAAAUGAUCACCUGCUGCUUCAGCCUUUUACAACAGAACCACUGCACUUAUUCCAGCUGUUGAAAUUAAAAGCAACAAGAGAAGCCUACAAAAAAUUCACAAUUGCAUAACAAUUUGAAAACAAAAGAAAAAAGGUCAUGUAACUCUUGGAGGGGGGGAGAAGCAAAUUAGUUUCUAUCGUGUUCCCUUUAUAGCAAUCAAAAACUUACAUUCUUGAAUAUUUUAAGUAU